GGAUUAGAUACCCUGGUAGUCCACGCCCUAAACGAUGUACACUAGUUGUUGCGAUGCUAGACAUUGCAGUAAUGCAGUUAACACAGUAAGUGUACCGCCUGGGGAGUACGGUCGCAAGAUUAAAACUCAAAGGAAUAGACGGGGACCCGCACAAGCGGUGGAGCAUGUGGUUUAAUUCGACGAUACGCGAAGAACCUUACCUAGGCUUGACAUAGCAAGAAUUUUCCAGAGAUGGAUUAGUGUCUGCUUGCAGAAACUUGUAUACAGGUGCUGCACGGCUGUCGUCAGCUCGUGCCG
rnacentral:rRNA from 1 species